UACAGAGGGGGCAAGCGUUGUUCGGAAUUACUGGGCGUAAAGGGCGCGUAGGCGGCCUGUUAAGUCGAACGUGAAAUCCCCGGGCUCAACCCGGGAACUGCGUCCGAUACUGGCAGGCUUGAAUCCGGGAGAGGGAUGCGGAAUUCCAGGUGUAGCGGUGAAAUGCGUAGAUAUCUGGAGGAACACCGGUGGCGAAGGCGCAUCCUGGACCGGCAUUGACGCUGAGGCGCGAAAGCCAGGGGGAGCAAAACGGGG
rnacentral:rRNA from 1 species